rnacentral:rRNA from 1 species
UACGGAGGGUGCGAGCGUUAUCCGGAUUUACUGGGUUUAAAGGGUGCGUAGGUGGGAAUGUAAGUCAGUGGUGAAAUCUCCGUGCUUAACACGGAAACUGCCAUUGAUACUAUGUUUCUUGAAUUUUCUGGAGGUUAGCGGAAUAUGUCAUGUAGCGGUGAAAUGCUUAGAUAUGACAUAGAACACCGAUUGCGAAGGCAGCUAACUACAGGGAUAUUGACACUGAGGCACGAAAGCGUGGGGAUCAAACAGG